rnacentral:rRNA from 1 species
CAGGCCUAACACAUGCAAGUCGAACGGUAACAGGUCUUCGGAUGCUGACGAGUGGCGAACGGGUGAGUAAUACAUCGGAACGUGCCCAAUCGUGGGGGAUAACACAUCGAAAGAUGUGCUAAUACCGCAUAAGAUCUACGGAUGAAAGCGGGGGAUCGCAAGACCUCGCGCGAAUGGAGCGGCCGAUGGCAGAUUAGGUAGUUGGUGGGGUAAAGGCCUACCAAGCCGACGAUCUGUAGCUGGUCUGAGAGGACGACCAGCCACACUGGGACUGAGACACGGCCCAGACUCCUACGGGAGGCAGCAGUGGGGAAUUUUGGACAAUGGGCGCAAGCCUGAUCCAGCAAUGCCGCGUGCAGGAUGAAGGCCUUCGGGUUGUAAACUGCUUUUGUACGGAGCGAAAAGGUUUCUCUAAUACAGAAGGCCCAUGACGGUACCGUAAGAAUAAGCACCGGCUACUCUG